GAUGAACGCUGGCGGCGUGCCUAAUACAUGCAAGUCGAGCGAACAGACGAGGAGCUUGCUCCUCUGACGUUAGCGGCGGACGGGUGAGUAACACGUGUAUAACCUACCUAUAAGACUGGGAUAACUUCGGGAAACCGGAUCUUAUACCGGAUAAUAUAUUGAACCGCAUGGUUCCAUAGUGAAAGACGGUUUUUGUGUCACUUAUAGCUGGCUCCGCGCCGCUUUGGCUAGUUGGUACGGUCACGGCUUACCAAGGCUACGAUGCGUAAACGACCUGAGAGGGGGGUCGGCCACCUGAGAAGAGAGACAGAGUCCCGACGCCGAGGGGAGGACACAGACGGGAAUCUUACGCAAGGGGGGAAAGGCUGACAGAGCAACGCCGCGGAAGGGAUGAAGGUCCUCGGAUCGGAAAACCCUGUUAUUAGGGAAGAACAAAUGUGUAAGUAACUAUGCACGUCUUGACGGUACCUAAUCAAAAAGCCACGGCUAACUACGUG
rnacentral:rRNA from 1 species